rnacentral:rRNA from 1 species
UACGAAGGGGGCUAGCGUUGCUCGGAAUUACUGGGCGUAAAGGGCGCGUAGGCGGCCAGAUUAGUCAGGCGUGAAAUUCCUGGGCUCAACCUGGGGACUGCGCUUGAUACGGUUUGGCUUGAGGGCAGGAGAGGCUCGCGGAAUUCCCAGUGUAGAGGUGAAAUUCGUAGAUAUUGGGAAGAACACCGGUGGCGAAGGCGGCGAGCUGGCCUGUUACUGACGCUGAGGCGCGACAGCGUGGGGAGCAAACAGGAUUAGAAACCCCCGUAGUCC